rnacentral:rRNA from 1 species
UGUCGCUGAUGGAUGGACCCGCGGUGCAUUAGCUAGUUGGUGAGGUAACGGCUCACCAAGGCGACGAUGCAUAGCCGACCUGAGAGGGUGAUCGGCCACAUUGGGACUGAGACACGGCCCAAACUCCUACGGGAGGCAGCAGUAGGGAAUCUUCGGCAAUGGACGAAAGUCUGACCGAGCAACGCCGCGUGAGUGAAGAAGGUUUUCGGAUCGUAAAACUCUGUUGUUAGAGAAGAACAAGGAUGAGAGUAACUGUUCAUCCCUUGACGGUAUCUAACCAGAAAGCCACGGCUAACUACGUGCCAGCAGCCGCGGUAAUACGUAGGUGGCAAGCGUUGUCCGGAUUUAUUGGGCGUAAAGCGAGCGCAGGCGGUUUCUUAAGUCUGAUGUGAAAGCCCCCGGCUCAACCGGGGAGGGUCAUUGGAAACUGGGAGACUUGAGUGCAGAAGAGGAGAGUGGAAUUCCAUGUGUAGCGGUGAAAUGCGUAGAUAUAUGGAGGAACACCAGUGGCGAAGGCGGCUCUCUGGUCUGUAACUGACGCUGAGGCUCGAAAGCGUGGGGAGCAAACAGGAUU